UAUCUCCAGUUCACCUAUAAAGUGGCACCUUGAACUGAAAACAAAACCAGUCAGACAGAGUAUAAAAGGCUAUUGAGGUCCUUAGAACACUGUCAUUAAGGGCUGAGAGGUGAAGAUACAUUAGAUAAGAAAAUAGCAGACAGAGACCCUGAAGCACUUUAAGAAACCUCAGUCUGCAGGAAAUCCUCAUCUUGGCUCCAAUCAUCAGAAAACCUGUUCUUUACCACAGCUGCUGGCCUUGAGGAAACAGCUCCAGUGGAAACUUUCUCAUUCUAAAGAAGCUGGUCAAAAGUGCACCCAGCCCUCAGUGAUAACAAAGGUAUGAUAA